CACUUCCAUGAAUUCCACAGCCUUACAAUUCUUCUCAGAUGACUCAAACACCCCUAUAUCUAUUUUUUCAUCACUAUCUUUAACAUCACCAUCAACCUCAUCUUCAUCAUUGCCUUGUACUCCAUCUACUUCAUCAUAACUAACAUUAAUGUCAUUACCACCAUCCUCAUCAGCUUUGUCAUCAGAUGAUGGAGGCUUCCUAUCAUCAUCACAGUCCAUAUCCUCCAGGAUGCUGCCAGUACUGACCAAUGUAGCUAUGUCUGACUUUUUGUCUUCAAUGUUAUUAAGCUCAGCACUAGUAUGAACUUCAGUAUAGGAAAAAUCAAAACCACUGGGCUUCAUGUCCUUGGUAAUUGUUGAAGACGUGGACAUUUUGGCAUCUGGGCUAAUUGUUACUGAUAUUGCCGAAAGUAUAUCAGGUUUUGCCUGAAUAUCAAUCCAUUGAUUAUCCACCCAAUCUCUGGAAGUCCUUAGAUUCUUUUUGUGUAUGCUCAAGAAGAAACUCUCACCAGGAAAGUAAACUUGCAGAAUAUCAUCAUUGCUACUGCUGAUUCCAGUUACAACCCCUUCCCACCAUCCAUCACUCCACCAUGCAUCAACGGCAGAGCCAACCUCAAAAGCUAGAUCUGCUUGUUCAUUUAGAGGAGGAGCUGGUCGAAUUGUUGGACGGCCUGAGCACCUCAUACCAAGUUUAUCAAGCACAGCCAAUUUGAAAGCCAGGACCCAUUCCUCAAGAUUGCCAUACUCAUCUUCAUCUCGCAGAUCAUCAUACUGAACUUUUAUCUGUUUUCGGGAGACCUGCAAGACAGUACACCUAAACCAGCAGCCUCGAAUACCACUAUCUUGGCACAACAGUUCAACCUUUUCAUCAACCUUAAAUAGUGGGCUGUAUUGAUGCUGAGACUCAGCAUGCUUGAGGGGAGGCAAUCUCUUGCCUGACAUACCAUAUCUUAAGUUGAAAUACGAAGGCUCAGAAGUCAUCAUCUGGCUUCCAGAAAUUCCAACUCCUGAAUGAUCUGUCGCAAAUGUUUCACUCCCUCUACCACUUCUGGUCCUCUUGGCUCCCAACUUCACAUUCU
rnacentral:misc_RNA from 1 species